rnacentral:tRNA from 1 species
CUGUGUAUAUCUCAGUGGUACAGUGUGUGCCUGGCACGUACAAGGUUCUGGGUUCUAUCCCCAGCACCUUGA